AUUGAACGCUGGCGGCAGGCCUAACACAUGCAAGUCGAACGGUAACAGGGAUCAGCUUGCUGAUUCGCUGACGAGUGGCGGACGGGUGAGUAAUGUCUGGGAAACUGCCUGAUGGAGGGGGAUAACUACUGGAAACGGUAGCUAAUACCGCAUAACGUCGCAAGACCAAAGAGGGGGACCUUCGGGCCUCUUGCCAUCGGAUGUGCCCAGAUGGGAUUAGCUAGUAGGUGGGGUAACGGCUCACCUAGGCGACGAUCCCUAGCUGGCCUGAGAGGAUGACCAGCCACACUGGAACUGAGACACGGUCCAGACUCCUACGGGAGGCAGCAGUGGGGAAUAUUGCACAAUGGGCGCAAGCCUGAUGCAGCCAUGCCGCGUGUAUGAAGAAGGCCUUCGGGUUGUAAAGUACUUUCAGCGGGGAGGAAGGGAGUAAAGUUAAUACCUUUGCUCAUUGACGUUACCCGCAGAAGAAGCACCGGCUAACUCCGUG
rnacentral:rRNA from 1 species